rnacentral:tRNA from 1 species
GGCUGUGUGGUCUAGUGGUAUGAUUCUCGCUUAGGGUGCGAGAGGUCUCGAGUUCAAUUCUCGGCACAGCCC